rnacentral:rRNA from 1 species
UACGGGGGGGGCAAGCGUUGUUCGGAAUUACUGGGCGUAAAGGGCUCGUAGGCGGCCAACUAAGUCGGACGUGAAAUCCCCAGGCUCAACCUGGGAACUGCGUCCGAUACUGGAUGGCUUGAAUCCGGGAGAGGGAUGCAGAAUUCCAGGUGUAGCGGUGAAAUGCGUAGAUAUCUGGAGGAAUACCGGUGGCGAAGGCGGCACCCUGGACCGGCAUUGACGCUGAGGAGCGAAAGCCAGGGGAGCAAACGGG